GAUGAACGCUAGCUACAGGCUUAACACAUGCAAGUCGAGGGGAAACGACAUCGAAAGCUUGCUUUUGAUGGGCGUCGACCGGCGCACGGGUGAGUAACGCGUAUCCAACCUGCCCAUCACUUGGGAAUAACCUUGCGAAAGUAAGACUAAUACCCAAUGACAUCCCACGAAGACAUCUGAAUGGGAUUAAAGAUUUAUCGGUGAUGGAUGGGGAUGCGUCUGAUUAGCUUGUUGGCGGGGUAACGGCCCACCAAGGCAACGAUCAGUAGGGGUUCUGAGAGGAAGGUCCCCCACAUUGGAACUGAGACACGGGCCACACUCCUACGGGAGGCAGCAGUGAGGAAUAUAGGUCAAUGGGCGAGAGCCUGAACCAGCCAAGUAGCGUGCAGGAUGACGGCCCUAUGGGUUGUAAACUGCUUUUAUAAGGGAAUAAAGUGGGUCUCGGGAGACUUUUUGCAUGUACCUUAUGAAUAAGGACCGGCUAAUUCCGUG
rnacentral:rRNA from 1 species